AAUGAACGUUGGCGGCGUGGAUUAGGCAUGCAAGUCGAGCGAGAACCCCGCAAGGGGGGACAGCGGCGAAAGGGACAGUAAUGUGUAGAUUAUCUGCCCUCAGGUCCGGGAUAGCUGCGGGAAACUGCAGGUAAUACCGGAUAACAUCUCCGGAUCAAAGGUGUGAUUCCGCCUGAGGAUGAGUCUGCAUCCUAUUAGCUAGUUGGUGGGGUAAUGGCCUACCAAGGCAUUGAUGGGUAGCAGGUGUGAGAGCACGACCUGCGUCAUUGGGACUGAGACACUGCCCAGACACCGACGGGUGGCUGCAGUCGAGAAUCUUCGGCAAUGGGCGCAAGCCUGACCGAGCGACGCCGCGGGUGGGAUGAAGGCCUUCGGGUUGUAAACCACUGUCAGAGGGGAUGAAAUGCAGGUGGGUUCUCCCAUCUGUUUGACAUAGCCGCAGAGGAAGGACGGGCUAAGUUCGUG
rnacentral:rRNA from 1 species